AUUGAACGCUGGCGGCAUGCUUUACACAUGCAAGUCGAACGGUAACAGGCCGCAAGGUGCUGACGAGUGGCGAACGGGUGAGUAAUGCAUCGGAGCGUGCCCAGUCGUGGGGGAUAACUACUCGAAAGAGUAGCUAAUACCGCAUACGAUCUAUGGAUGAAAGCGGGGGACCGUAAGGCCUCGCGCGAUUGGAGCGGCCGAUGUCAGAUUAGGUAGUUGGUGGGGUAAAGGCUCACCAAGCCAACGAUCUGUAGCUGGUCUGAGAGGACGACCAGCCACACUGGGACUGAGACACGGCCCAGACUCCUACGGGAGGCAGCAGUGGGGAAUUUUGGACAAUGGGCGCAAGCCUGAUCCAGCAAUGCCGCGUGCAGGAAGAAGGCCUUCGGGUUGUAAACUGCUUUUGUACGGAACGAAACGGCUCUGGUUAAUACCCGGGGCUAAUGACGGUACCGGAAGAAUAAGCACCGGCUAACUACGUG
rnacentral:rRNA from 1 species